UAAUUUAUAGUAUAUUCAGUACAAUUGAUUUCCAAUCUUUUAGAUCUUUUAGAUAAAUUAA
rnacentral:tRNA from 1 species